CUCUGUGGGUGGCGAGUGGCGGACGGGUGAGUAAUGCAUCGGGACCUACCCAGACGUGGGGGAUAACGUAGGGAAACUUACGCUAAUACCGCAUACGUCCUACGGGAGAAAGCGGGGGAUCGCAAGACCUCGCGCGGUUGGAUGGACCGAUGUGCGAUUAGCUAGUUGGUAAGGUAACGGCUUACCAAGGCGACGAUCGCUAGCUGGUCUGAGAGGAUGAUCAGCCACACUGGGACUGAGACACGGCCCAGACUCCUACGGGAGGCAGCAGUGGGGAAUAUUGGACAAUGGGCGCAAGCCUGAUCCAGCAAUGCCGCGUGUGUGAA
rnacentral:rRNA from 1 species